GACGUAGGGUGCAAGCGUUGUCCGGAUUUACUGGGCGUAAAGAGCGCGUAGGCGGCUCGUUAAGUGAGAAGUGAAAGCUGUGGGCUCAACCCACAAACCGCUUUUCAUACUGGCGAGCUGGGGUGAUGCAGAGGUGGAUAGAAUUCCUGGUGUAGCGGUGAAAUGCGUUGAUAUCAGGAGGAAUACCCGUGGCGAAGGCGGUCCACUGGGCAUCAACUGACGCUGAGGCGCGAAAGCGUGGGUAGCAAAAGGG
rnacentral:rRNA from 1 species